rnacentral:lncRNA from 1 species
AUCGCAAUCAGAUAAAAUGGACGGCCCUGAUGACAAUAAUGCUGAAAUCCACGACAACAUUGAAAACAAGAAAACAAGAAAUCAAAAAACUCGAACCAGAAUAAAAUAGAUACAAUGAAAAGCCGUUGGCCGGAGCGGCCAUACGAAUCUACGAUGUUAUUGAACUAGAACUCGGAGCCAGGCAAUGGCUCAUGGGUGUGGUGGAUGAAGACGGUUUCAUAGACGAGGCCUGCAAUCCCACCUCCAAUGAGAGGCCCUGCCCAGUACACCCAGUGGUUGGUCCAGUCCCAGCUCACCAGAGCAGGCCCAAACGACAUAGCCGGAUUCAUGGAUGCUCCGUCGAAUGCCCCACCCGCCAGAAUGUUGGCUGCAACAAUCAAACCAAUGGCAAGGGGUGCGAUUAUCCCCACAUUGCCCUUCCUCGGGUCAAUGGCAGUCGCGUACACCGUGUAAACCAGCCCAAAAGUCAUCACGAUCUCAAGAACAAACGCAUUCCACACUGUUACUCCAGAAGAUAUCGCAAAUGCGGAUGUUGUCUGCACCAUUUUAUUAUAAUCAUCACCUCACUAAUUCUAUAACUUAUAAACUAUGUAACUGUAAUAACUAACUCACCAUGCCAUGAGUGCAGAACUUUAGGAGCAAGCAGGCCACCGCGGAACCAAGGAGCUGAGCUAUCCAGUAAAGGAUUCCACGUAGGAGAGUGAUGUUUCCACCGACGAAGGCUCCAAAUGUGACAGCGGGGUUGAUGUGACCGCCGGAGAUGUUGCAUGCCCCCGACACUGCCACAAACAGUCCAAGGCCAUGUCCCAAUGCUUCGGCAAUGAGGCCGGCCGGUGUGGUGGAACCAUCAUCGGUGAGCUUGCUGAAGGCCAUGCCGGAGCCUUCUCCGGCGAACACAAAAAUUAGGGUGCCGAAAAACUCCGCCAACGCCGCCUUGAGCGCAUCGGGUUGAUAGGUCUCCUGCGGCUGGCCGAUGGCAAUCCUAAGAAACGGCAUUGUGGAAAACUCGAUGAUAAAAGCUGAAGAGAUAGGAUGAAAAAAAAUGGAGAGCCUCACCCUCUGACUCCUUCACGAACGAACUCUCUGUGUGCUUCACCCUUUAUAAUGGAAAUUGGAAGGGUAUGUGCAACCUACUACAGCCGGUUCCCGGUCUAAAUAAAAAUGUGGAAAUUUGUACAAAUUUUAUGAAAGAGGUAGAAAGGCGGGGACCAAAGGAGGCUGUCCAUACAGCUAAGAUUUCAGCCUCCAAAAUAAUAUAGGAGCGACACGUGUAUGUGAGGUAGAGGAGCCACGUCAUCUAGUUGCGAUGGGUUUGAGUGAGUUUUGUCCUGAUUUGGAUUGGUAAUUAAUUUUCAGCUACUCUCCUGAAAUUCUAUUAUUUCCUCCUUUUUAUAGAAUCUUCUUCUUCUUAAAAAAAAAAUUGCAGGCAUUAUUAUAAUUAUAAGGAAUGUUACCAUUUAUGAUGAUAUCUGUAACAUAACUUGCAAUUAAUUUAUAUGAAGAUAAGACAAAAGCGAAUGGAAGACAACAAUGACAUUUUUGUGGUCAAGCGUAAAGGAAAAUAAAUUAUUUUAAAAAAACUAUUUGUCAUCAUGUGCUUGACUUAGAAUCUUGGGCGUGAUAAUUUUUUGACAAAACCAAAAAGUAAAUAGUCAUUGUACAAUUAUUAAUGCACCAAUGGCAUGCCAUAUAGUUAUGGAAAAUUAAGAAAAAUAAAUUACAUUGUUCUAUGAAUUUAUGUGUUGGGUAGUAAGUUCACAAUGAAUGUUUUUUUUUACUUGUAUUUUGAAAUGUUAUAUCCUCUUCUGCAGGCUGCAGCUUUCCGAUUGUGGCUUCGAUGAAAUGAGAUACAAGUUGUUGUUGUGAAUGAGUACAAACCUACUUUUUCAAAAGAGAUAUUAUUCGGAGACAUAUCUUGUCACAUCCACGUGACAUUUCUUUGGCUUUCCUCUUCUUAAUUUUAUUUCUCAUUUUUUUGUUUACGCUCACCUACCUAACAUUUUUUAUAUAAAAAUAAAAUAUUUUAUAUACAAUUUAAAAUUAAUUUAACAAAAUUAGAAUUUGAAAUAAUAAAACAUGUCUAUAUAAAAUUUGAAAAAAACUCAUAUUUAUAUAAUAUUAAAAACUCUCUUUCAUAUUUGAUGUGAGAUAUUAUAAACACUAACAUUAUGUUUGGUUCCCAAAAAAUACUAAGAAAAGAAAAAAAAUACAAAGAAAAAUUAUUUUUUCAUAUUUGAUUGUCUUAUGAAAAAUAAAAAAGAAAAUCAAAUAUAAUUAAAACUAAUUAAAAUUUUAUGUAUUUUAAAAUUAUUUAAUCUUUAUAUUGAUGAGUUAAAAUAAAUAAAAUAAGUUUGAAGUAAAAAAUAAAAAUAACUUAUCAACUUUUAAUCCAUUUUUUAUUUUCUUUCUAUUUUUCUUUUGUAUUUUUUUUUUUUUUUGCAUUUUCCCUCAAAUUUUCUGAGAACCAAACAUACCUAAAGUGUUGUAUCCUAUGGAAUUAUAGAGCCAAAUAGAUAAAUACUUUUCAUUGAGUCAAAUAAACUCCCACACCAAGCUAAAAAUAAACUUUGACAUUGUUUAUAAUAAUUCGUAUCAAAUAAUGUAGUUUACUCUAAACCCAAAAAGGAGGUUUAUCUUAUUUUUAUAUUAAGUUUCACUUUCUAAUCAAAUAUAGAAAUACUCCUUAUAAGAUUAAAUAAACCCCCACAUCAAACUAAGGAUAAGUUCUGAUAUUGUUUAUAAUGAUUUAUAUUCAAUCGUAUAUAUAUUGUUUAUUCUGAAUUUAAAAGGUUCUCAAUGCUAUAAAAUAAUUUUAUAAGAUUAAAAGAAAAUUCAUAUUUAUAUAGUGUCAAACUUAAGACAUGGGAUAUCCUAAAGGUUUAUCUUAUUUUUAUAUUAAGUUUCACUUUCAAGUCAAUUUUUUAAAAUUAAAAUAAAAUAAAUAAGUAUAAAAAUAUCUAAAAAUUGUUAAAUAUGGAAAAAGCAAAAAACAAAAGGGAGGUUUAAAAGGGCCAUUUACAAAAUUUUGAAAUCGAAGAUAUUUUAACAUAUAUAUUUGAUUUAUAAAGGUUCUCUAAUAAAAUCGUAUGUUGCUAUCAAACUCAUAAAUGUCAGUAUUAGAAUAAGCAGAGUGUUACAAUUUGUAGGGAAAGCGUUUGAUUGGCAAAAUGAAUUUCAAAGGUGAGGGUACAUGGUGGUAUAAUCUCCUUGGUCUUAGGUUAUGUUUGGUUCUAUCAAUCAAAUUUGAAGGCGAAUGAAAGGAAAAGAAAAUACAAAAAAGAUAAAAAGUGAAAAAAAAUAAAAAAUUAAUAAAUAAAUUUUUUUAUUACUUCAAACUCAUUUUAUUUAUUUUAAUUCAUUAAUAUAAAUAUUAAAUAAUUUAAAAAUAUAUAAGUUUUUAAUUAAUUUUAAUUAUAUUUGAUUUUCUUUGAUAUUUUGAUAAUCAAAUAUAAAAAAAAAAAAAAUUCUUGCAUUUUUUUUUCUUUACUUGGUAUUUUGUGCAACCAAACAUAACCAUGAGCUAAUUGAACCAGGCUGGCUCUGUGAUUGCCGACAGCCGGACAAUGGAUGGUGGGACCAUCGCAUGACAUGAGUGAAUUGGCCCACAGCCUUUUCACACCUAUCCAUCCACUAAGGCAAUUGGUAAUGGAGUCCUUCCCUACUGUAUUUAUUUAGCUUGUAACAGGGGCUAUACCAAUUAAAAAAGGGGGGAAAUUUUCUGAAGGAAAGGUGUGGACCCUGGAGGCUGGAAGCAGCCAUGGUAAAGUAAAAUAAAAAAAAAUUAACAUCUAAAGUAAAAAGUAAUAAAUUUUUUGAAGGAAAGGUGUGGACCCUGGAAGCUGCUAUGGUAAAGUAAAAAAACAUUUAACAUCUAAAAAAUAAUAAAUUUUAAGUUAAUAACUUAAUAAUAAUUUAAUUUAAAUUUUAAAUCAUAAUAAAAAAAAUUACUAAUCACUUAAAAAACAUACAAUAAAGUGAAUUUUAAAAUAUUACAAUAUUUUUAAUUCAUAUUUUAUCUUCUCAUAAAAAUAAAGAUUUUAUUAUUAGAUCAUUUUAUUCUAAAGUUUAUUUUCUUUUAAAUAAAAAUGUUUAUUAUCAGUUUCUUCAUGAUAAAAUUAAAAUUCUAAAAAUGAAACUCUGUUUAAAUUUAUUUUUAGGAUCUAUAUUUAAUCAAAAUUUAUUUUUAAUUAAUUUAUAUGGAAAUUUAAUUUAUUUUAAAAUAAAAUCUUUUAUUCUUGGUUAUUUUAAAAAAUAAAAUUAGAAUUCUAAAUAAAUUAUACUUAAUUGAUCUGUAAGAACUAUUUUUCAUUAAAAAGUUAUAGUUCUGAUAACAAGAUUAAUAAUAAAAAAUUAGAUAAUUUAUUAUUUUUAUUUAUUAUGAAUUAUUUAUAUUAUAUGAGAUUUUUUCACUAUUAUUUCAAUCUUUUGCUCUAAAAUCUAUUUUUAUUGAUUAUAAAUUUGGUUGUGGGAAAGUAUGAAGAAAAUAAAUUAGAAAGGAAAAACGUAAAUAAAAAGUUAAGAAAAAUGAAAAUUACACUUUACCCCAGUAAUUUAUUUAUGUACUCGAAAUUAAAUUAAUUUGGUAAGAAAAUUAAUUUUUGGCAGCGAAAGUUCAUGGGGAUGUUGGAGAGGAUAAGGACGUCCGACUGAUCUUCUUUCCCUUGACUACAACUCAGUAGUGAACGGUUUAAUGGAUGACAGCUGGUGAGGGUGAGAAGUUGAAAUCAAAGCCUCGUCUGUGGGCCUCACCAUUCAACCCAAAACCCAUGUGGUAUGUGGAUGUGUCUCACAUUAUAGCCAUAGGCAAUUCUCUCAAGGCCCAGCAACCAAAUCAUCUGUAGUGGGUGUGGAGGGCCAUUCAAAAUUUUAUAUUUAAGGAAAAAAAGGAAAAUAGUAAGGGCUUACAAGUGCUGAUUCACAUGGAUUGCAUGAGUGUAACCAGACAAAGGAGUACAGCCCCAUCCUCAGGACCAGCCAUGGAUUAUCGAGAACCACCAUAAAUGCACACAUGAGAACUCUGCAGCUCUCUGCUUUCUGCCAAGUCUACACCCAAACCACCAUUCCAGUGAUGACUAAAAGGAUAUAUAUCAGGAAAUGGGACUAAAUUGUAAACAAAUGUUAGAGGUCUAGGUGUAAGAGAAUUUUGACAAGGCACCCAUGCCCAAAAUGUAGUUUUUGGGUACCAAAGAAAAAUACAUUGCCGAGUUGGCUGUCAAAUCGAAUGCCAUUCAAAUUUUAACACUGAGGUCAGCCAGCUAUUCGCAAAACUAUGCCAAACCAACUUAUUAAAUUAAGGACUUUAAAAGGGGUUUGACUAGAAGGUUGUGUAGUACAGCAUUAAUCAUUCAGUGGUUGGCGUCACAGAAUGGGCUGAUGUGAUAAUAAAUAAAUAAAUAAAUAACAGGGAGAAUCCAAAGUGAUGUUUCUGAUCCAUAUCCAUCCUUAGACUGGGGUCCAAACACGGCAGUAUGAGGCUAGAAUAAAUGGACAUGGGACAUGAAUCUGCGGACCAACAACACUCAAAACCUUUGAAAACAAUUCAUCCAGGGAAAGAUCUUACAAGGGAUGGUUCCAGUGUUGAUAACACAUCAUGUGCUCUUCUUUAAGGUUUCUGUACAGACUACAGUCUACUUACAAUUUAAGUGAUGAAAUUAAGGCUCCUGAAUAUAAACUUGAGUGUAAACCUUGUCAAGGUAAACUCAUGAAGCUCCACUAAUGGCAGUUUACCAGUAACUAGGACAGACAACAAGCACAUCCUAGCCACCACAAUGUGCUAUGCCUAAACUAGGAUGGAGCCAAAAAACGCAUGAUGGCAGAGAAGAAAAAAUGGAGUGGACAAGCAAAUUGCAGAAUAAAAAAUAGACCCACCUAAAGAGAACUUGAAAACUAGGAAAUAAUUCAGGGAGAAAAAUGAACUCACUGGGCACAUGCCUAAGCUUGACAAUAGGCCACCUGUUGUGAGGGAAGUUCCUCUAUGAUCUUCCUCCUCAACACAAACGACAACCACAGCCCUGAAACAAUAGUGCAAUUCCAUCUUGGAUAACCAGAUCAAAUAGACACCACUGCAACACAGUUGAGGAGUACAGGGUACAAGAGCACAGUAUAGUUAACAUUGCAUAUAUACUGAUAAACAAAAAUUAUAUCAUUUUCUUAUUGUAAUUUUAGUUUACAUCAAUUCUGAAACAAGUAUUAAUGGAAGAAGGUGACAACAUCAGCUGAAUCGUGAAAGAAUUAGCUGUAGCCCUACAAAAUUACAUCUCUCUUAACUUGUAGCACUUUCCGUCAUGUCUCUGCAAGCAUGCUCCAGGAUCUGUGUGGUUUGCACCACAACUUCACAACUUCAUUCAUAUUGAGCAAAAUAGAAUAAUUGCAUCCGGUAUGUACAGGUGCACAUGGGCAUCAUAAGCAACAAUGCAUGGAGAUGAAAACUGUUACAGAAACCAUGAGGAUGAAAAUAAGAAAAAGAAGAAAUUAGAUGAUAUUCAUAAUCAUACAUAUCUUGGCAGAUGUAUACUUCAGGUGGAACUAAAUUUACAAAUAUUUCAAUGAAUAAUCAUCUCAUUGUUCAUGGUGCGGCUUUUACAGGUUUCCCAGCAUUUUAUACUGCAGUGGAUUAGGGGCACCCCCUUCCCUGUCAAUUGUUUCCCCUCAUUAUGUGAUGAAAAUGAAAGGGAAACUCUUAAAAUUGGUUUGCAGUUGAACAUAGGAGAGCAAACAAGGAAUUCAUCUAGCCAAUGUGAUUGUGGCGUAUGUGGAACUUGCAUUUCAUACCACAAAUAAGGCAGUAAUAGAUUUUCCCCUCCCACCAGCCAUUCAUCCCUGAACACAGACAUGCCUUCCACCACAAAAAACACUAUCACAAUGACACAUGGACUAUUAUCAGGAUGCAGAUUUACUAUGACUUCUUUGUUUGAUUGAGGUACUGAUCAUUUAAUUCUAUUAAAUUUUUUUAAAUAUUUAAUUAAAAGAACUUACUUAGCACGGAUAUUCAGUUGAUACUUAAACCGCCGAUUUCUGUAAACAAUUGUCAUUUUUUAUGGUGAUGACAUAUGACAUAUUCCUUUUCAUCAAUGCAUAUGGGUCGUCUUGAAAUUACCAAAAAUUAUCUAGUGUAAAGAAUUUUUCUCUUUAAUUACAUAUAUUUUCUUAGAUUCAUUGACUAUUCAAAUAAUAAACAAUAGUAAUAUUUCAAUCCAGUACUUAAAAGUGUUAGCCUUUUUCAUGAUUAUUGAAUUCCUAUCAAAUUCAAAGCCCUAAAGACUUGUUGGGGGAAACUUGAGACCCCAAAUUUAAACACCAAACCAAGUUAGUUUUUGUGCCAAAAGGUAAAUAGAGAACACUUUAUCAGAUGAUACGGAUUCACAUCCUCAAGUUCUGACCAUCAAUACAAGUCACUAGCAUCAUUGAUCCAACUAAACUUCCAACAUAAUUUAUAAACAACAAACUCUGCCACAUCCCAGAGCACCACUUUCAAUAUUUACAUGCAUUCAUUCAAGUCCAAUCAAAUAGAAAGUGAAAGAGAGCACACAAAGACACAGAUAGCAUACCGCAAAGAUAGGAAAUACCGUCUAACCCAUACACCAGCCAUCUAGAGGUCAAAAUCAUCCUGCAUUACAGGCAGCCCCAAUGAGAUACAUGUCUAAUAGGCAAAACAGAAUACAUCCCAACCCUUGUUGUGAUUAAGUCAGAAAUAAAUGAUACCUGGUGACAACUGAACAUUCUCAUAUUUGCCCUUUUUCAUCUUCUGGUGGUUACUCAUACCAAAUGCACCAUCAUGUUGAUCCAUGAAACAUUUAUCCUGCAUACACAUCCUCCAUAAAGAGAAAAGAUCAACUUCAGCUUAGACAUCAUAAAUAAAUAUGACCUUUGAUUAAGGAUUAUUUUCAUGCACAGAGUAGCACAGAUACCAUGUGCAAAGGAACAAUAAAUGAGGAGAAAGGUAAGAGGUGGGGGGGGGAAGGAGAAUUCAAACAUAAGUUUAUCUUAAAAAGAGUUUAAUUCUAAUCCUACUCAAAACCAAAGAGGACCCAAGAGACCAAACUAAGUACAUGCAAAAAGUACAAACAGAAAGCAGAAAACUACAAGAUGCAGAAUUGUUAUUCAAGGAUCAAAGAACAUUCAUGGAUAUCCACGUGCAAAAGAAAAUAUUAGCAAAACUGUCAUCCAAGGAUCAAAGAACAUUUAUGGACAUCCACAUGCAAAAGCAAAUAUUAUUGAAGAUUGUAGAAAAUUGCUUGAAAAGUCAGAAUGGGGAUUAGUAUAAGUUAUGUGCUUAGGGAGGCUAAACAGGCUGCUGAUUACUUAGCUAAUAGUGGACUUAGUAUUCGACAGUCCAAAGCGUACGAUUGUGUAAUUUCUCAAGAGAAUUUCAUAGAAUCAUGUGGAAUGACUUAUGUGGUAGGACACGGAGCACAGCUGUGCCAUGAGUUGAAUUACAUUUGCUACCAAGUAGAGAAAAGAAGAAGAAUCUAAGAAAGCAAGAAAGGAGGAUUUGGUCUAGGUAUUCUCCAAAGAACAUGUAAAGCUUCCUCAAAACCAUCUAUAAAUUUGUGGUCAAGAUUUUACAUCCUACAACUUUUCCUAUUUCUUUCUGGCCAUGUACACCAGAAAAAAAUGGGAAUCUUUUCUAAACAACCAACCUAGAAGCACUUCCAAUUCCAGCUUGAGCCCACCAUAUCAAGGGAAAAACUUUUGAAGACCAGGGCAUCACCCAAGCAAUGCCAAAGAAAAGCCACUCUUUCACCAACCAAUAAGUUCAACAAUGUUCUUGUCUGAGUGGCGUCCUCAUCUCUAUAUGUCAGUAACUUGAAGAAAAAAUCAACUAAAAAUAUCUCAUUUGUAGUAUUUUUUUUCUUUUUUUUUUUUAUAUCAGAAAGAAACAAAUUCAUUGAUGUGAAUUGAUGGUACAAAUAAGGAUGAGAAAUCCUUCCCAAAUUUGCACAAACUGAUCAAAAAGAGAAUGCAGAUGGACUCCACAAAGGAACAGCAAAACAGCUGCACAGCAAAAGAUGUAAAUAAAAUGUAUGUAUAAUCCACUUCUUGUGCUUUUAUCAUAUCAUAUUAUAUAUAUGUUCAUGCUCAAAAUGUCCAAGUUUUGUGGCUGGAAUUACCAUGGUUUUGAGCUUCAGUGACUAAUUCCAUUUCAUUGGGCUACCCUCAUUUGAUCCAUUGUUAGAUAAUAUAUGGAUCAUAGCUGCAAAAGUAAAAAUGUUUUUGGCAUUGGCUGAGCAAUCUUUCAAUUCACCCACCUUGACACACUUUCUCAAUCACACUUGAUUUCUGAAUUUCUUGAAAGUUGACUCCUCAAAUCGUAGUGGCUUUAAGGUUUAUAACGACAUUUAACCUUCAUAUUAUUUAGAAAACUACACUCACAUGGAACUCAUAAAGGACAUCUAAUAUCAACAUACAGUCAUGAUAAUGUGGAAAAUAACAUUUAAUCCCCCUAUCCAAGAUGACAAUGUUGCUUGCUAUAAGGUAUACAUCUAGCCCCCCAAUCUUAACUCAACUUCCAUAUUUGCACAUGCCGCUAAGGUUGCACUUGAUGUUCUAACAAAUAAAAAUGGCUGAAAUAGAAUAACCCAGCCAAGAUCCUACUGCCCAGGAUUGCACAACAGGGAAGAAGUUCAAAAAAGAGAAAGAUGAGGAAAAACAACAGGUAAAUAUACAAGUGAAGUUGGGUAAAAUUAACUAUAAUAGACAUUAACAUAGAUGAAACAUUAAGAAAGAUGAUAAUAGUCAGUACUGAAAGCAUUGUUGUAAGCAGUUAAAGCUCACCUGAUGCAUGAUGGAGCUGCUGAUACAAAUCUGCUUCUGCAAACUCAGCAUGGAAGGACCAAAUUUUUAGGUCACAGUACUCUUGUAUUACGUUCCAAACUGCUCAUCUAGAUUGCUUCCCUUGGACAUGAUCUGCAAUGUUGUGCCCUUGGUAAUCCAGGCAGUUAGUUCGGGCUGAUGAUCAAAAGGGUUAAGAGGAAGCAAACUUCUAUCCUCCAGUUGUACACCAUAGACAAAUGGGAGUCUAAGUGUAAGGAAACUCUCUGGUGGUAGGAUCACACGACAUCCAAGGCUGAACUGCAAUUGUUUCUCACGGUCUGGAAUGGAUGGAGGCAGGCAAGAUGCCUACAAAUAAAAGUUUGCUUUUAAAAUAAGGGAGGAUAAACUUGGACCUUCCAGCAGAAACCUAACCAAUUAUAGUGAAUAAUAACACAAUAUGUGCACAAACAGUAAGAGAUCUAAUCAUAUCAUUUACACAGCAACAAUGGACAAAUGCUGUAAUGCAUGUUUCAGACCCAUAAUUACUAUAUUCGAGCAAAGUGUCUCCUUUCACAACUCAAAAUCCAAUUCAGUGAUUCUAGCCACCCAAACCUGUCAGCUAACCUAGUAAUUGAUUCUAUGUUUCUAGUUAAGUGCAGCAAGAUAGUCAUACGAUUAGUAUUAUGAGAAGACAUGAAUUAUUAGUCAAGACUGCCAGGAAAAUUCUAGUAAAUGCUGCCCAGGAAAGCACAAAAAAUAACACAGAAAGAACGAUCCCAAGUCAUCGAUCUUCAGAAGUCAAAACUCUUACAAACACUGAAGAACUACUUGAAGUUAUGCAUAGUUGAAAAUAAAUAUGAUAUUAUGUGUUUGGUUGAAAGAAACCAAAGUUUAUGCAUGCGUAUUCAAGUCAGGAACUAAGAAAUACCUCAAACUGUACAACCGGGCAUGUUGCUAAGAUUACUGGAAACGGAGGUGUGACCUACACAGAAGUAUCCAUGAAUAAGUUGCAGAGUGGUUAAACGCAUAAAAGAACUUUAACUUCAAAAUACAUCUUCAUAUCAGUAAAAUGUACCAUAUUCUAAUAUCCAAAAAAAGGAAUUAACAGAGGCACUUUUAGAAUUUAAACAAUCCUCACAUUAAAUUAUCAAAAAGCAUAGUUCCAACUCUUAAGUUUUACAUUAUUCCCAUUUCAAUGUCACAUCAUAAAUUUGAACCAAUAAAACAUAAAAUAUCAAGUGAACUGCCCAAACUCCAUUUAAAAUAAAAAACAUUCUCAAUAAAAUUGCAAACUUAAUUUAGUUGUGAAAGAUAUGAAUAGCAAACUUACAUUCUUGAAAAGUUCUUUCUCACAUAAGAUACCUAAAAUUUCCGUGAUAAUAGAAUUCAUACCAAGUGAAAUAUGAAGACAUAAUUUACUAUGAAGAAAUACUCUAGAGUAAAAGUGUUUUAGAUUCAGAAGGACUAAGACAAUCCAGCACCCUCACAUAAUAGAGAUAUCUCAAAGUGGCUGCUCGUACUCAACUGGAUCAAUUAUUCAUAAGGAGAUAAUAAUGGGGAUGUCAUUUAUAGAACUAAAGUGAGAUAGCCGAAGUGGACAACUGCCUUUGUGUUUUUCUGUAAGUGUAGAAUACAAAUCAAGUUAAAGGAAAACAUUCUAGAAGAUGGCCAAAGAAUCAAUAUGGAUGCAUAAAGUUAGGCAGCUAACAAACAACACAUUUGGAGAUGAACAAUUUGAACAAGGAUUUUAUGAUGGAUGAGUAGCAACACAGGAAAAGAUCAAAUAGAAAAAAAAAAUCAUGUAUAAGUUAAAGGUAGCAUAAUUAGAGGAUAAGAUGAGGGAGAGUAAUCCAGGAUGGUUUGGCCAUGUACAAUGAAAGCCAAUGAAUGUGCUAGCAUGGAGGAAUGAGGCCCCAGUUGUGCAGUUGCAGUCUCUAGUGUAGUGCUUCUAAGGAAAGAUCAGUCUAAAGAACAGCUUGCUGUUGAUUUCCACCAUUGCUGAACAAUUUUCCUUUCACCAUUUACCAACCAUUAGAGAAAGCACUAAACCUACUACUACCUUUGCUAUUGCACAACCUGUUGUUGACAAACUAAAUUGCAAAGGUCUCAAAAACUUUCUUUCUUCACUAGAUAACUGAUUUUCUUUUUCACUGGUGAACAUUAGAAGUAUAAAGCAAGCAUUCUAUGCUACUUUAAAUUUCUGAACGUGCACCAAAGAGGCUAAACUUUCCUAUUUAACCCAGGAUGUACUGCUAUUUAGCCUACAAAAAUAUGAGGAUCUAACAUUCAUAGAUGUUUUGGAAAAAUUGCCAACAUGCAUAUUUGUUAAGUUAACAGGCUCUUCUGAUCUUCCCCCACCCCCCACAAUGUAAAAUAAAAUAAAAUAUCAUGAAUUAAAAGUAUGUCUGAUUAGUUGUGAGAAAAUCUGAAGGCAAUGUAGUAAAAAGGCUUAUGAAUGAGAUGUCAUACCAGAAAAAUCCUUUGAAGCUGUGAUAUUGCGCCCGCAAACUUAACAUUUGACAGAUCCUUCUUAUUCUUGGAGAACUUGCAGUGUGGGCAGUUCAUGUAUAUUGGUAAAUUUCUAUUCAAAAGGGAGAAAGCACCUCCACCAUCAUCAAGGUUAACAGACUGCAUGCUUUCUCCAAGAUCUUUUACAGAAUUAGGGAGUGUUGACGAGCCAAUUGAUGUCUGGUUCUGUUCCCUUCCUAGUCCUGAGAACUGCACCAGAGCAUCUAAGUGCUGACUGCCAUUAGCCAAUGUCUCUUUUGACUUAUCAAAAUUUCUCAGCUUAUUUGUAGCAGUAGCAGCCAUCCCAUUUGAGUGUCGAUGACCUUUGCCAUGUCCACCAUUCUUUCCCAAUUUUGGAGGAUCUGCCACUUUGUGAUCCAAAUUUUCCAUAGAUGCAGACAAAUGGGAAUCUUCAGGGAAUGAAUGUGAGGAUCCAAGUUCAUUUAGAUGCUGUGGCGUGAGUAUAAAACGAUGUCCAUGGGGGCAUUCAUGCUCAAAUCCAACAUACACUGCUACAUGCUUCAAAGAAGUGUUUAAUUUGAUAUUUCCACCACCAUUUACGGUCACUGGAAUUAAAUUACUACCUAUUUGUAAAAAUGGGUCACUACCUGUGUAGCCAUUAGCAUUGCUCCCAUUUAAGGUUUCCAGAACAGAAGAAUAUUCUUCCAAUUUUUGAGAGCCUUGAAAAUCAGCAGUUUCAUGAACCUGUUCAGCACUCCUAUCCCUAGCACUACUUUGCUUGAUACCCUUUUCUGAACCUAAUGAAGGCUGUUUCAUCUGCUGAAGAGGAGGAAAUCCUGAAUCAACUGUUGCUGAUCCAGCAACAACCUCAGAAAAAGGUUUUCUCAUUGUAAACUUGGGAAGACCUCUACCAAAGCUGAUUUUUUUAUCAUCAGACUUAAUAUCCUCCAAAGGUUUUCUUUCAUUUUCAACUGUAUUGUGUGUGUCUCGUUGGUACAAUUGAAAAGCACCAGCUUUCUUUAUCUCUACAUUGGCAAUCAAGUCAACAUUGGGGUCUAUACUUGACCUGAUUAGAGAACCCUGUUGCACAGCACUUACUGGAGAACCAUUUUGGAUUCUAUGUUUCUCUAAAAAAAUUAUCCAUUUCAAAAGAAACUUUUGAGUGGCAUGGAACCCACUCUGAAGUAAGCCUUUAGAAGGUUCAUAGUACUUUGUCCCACCAACUCGAAUCAAAUUCCAUGAUAGGGGUUGAAUUGGUCCUGCAUCGAUCAUUUUUGGUAAUUGGAGUGCAGGAAGAAACCUGUCACAGUCUGGAAAACAAUUGGAAGUAAUAUUGGCUGUUUCAAAAUCAAAAGGGUCAGCACGCAGCUUCCGUGAACGGCCACAAGCACAAGCAUGAAGGAAAACAAAUCCACUAGAAUGUGGCUUGACUGCUGUCCCUAAAAGUGAGCCACCGGUUUCAAUAUCAUGUCUCUGGUGCAUACAGGGUUUUCCUGUCAAACUAACAGCAUCGCAUAGUUGCCUCCCGGAUCUCCAGAUAGAUGUGCAUUCAUCCUCCAGCUUUUUUGUGAAGAGUUGCACUGCAGGUCCCUUAACCAUUGAGCGGAAGGCAUGUAAAGUCUUCUCUAAGUGGGCUUCAUGCAGUGAAGUUGGAUAAAGAGCUGGCAAGUCUUUCAAGUAAACCUCCUUAGCAGCCGGCAAGGCUCUUUCACACCACAAAGUUGAAAACUUCAUGUUUAGUUCUUUACCACUUUCCAGCCAAGAUACUGCAAUGUCAAGAGGAUCUGCACCUUUUGUAGUUAUCCCUUCAAUCUGUGGUGGCACAUUGUUACGUUGACGGGGUUUCCUUUUAGUCAUUUCAAUUUCAUCUAUGCAUCCACGUUUUGCUGAGAGAACUCCUUGUAGAAUAAGUUGGCUAGAAGAUAACCAGAUCUCCAAACUUGGAAGUUCAGGAGUAGUAAAUGUCUUUCCUGAAGCAGCUGAGGCAGCAGCAGCAGCCGCAGCAACAGCCACCAUACCAACACCAGCAGCUGAGCCACUGUUGGUGUUAGUGACUAACCCCCCUCUCCCUCUUAAGAUAUCAGACUGCCUGUAAAUGAACUCUUUUACAGAUAGAAUGUCCUCUUUGUUUGCAUUUUGACUAUGGCUUUCGAGCAAAAGAGAAUCUGAGGUUGCCUUUCCAUUCAAAACGUCUUCCACAAGGGCAGUAGCAAAUUCAAGAGAUUCACCUUUCUGGUUGGUAGAUCUGUCUAACAGUGAAACAGCCCUUGAUGCAUCAAGUGAAAAUAAAGGUGCUGAACUUGAAACGCCCCCACCCCUUGACGCAGAAUGAGUUUCAGAUCCUGUGAGUGUUCGGCAUUUUUUAAUCAAAAAACGAAUCUGUGCUUCAAGAGAUGACUGCAGUUUCUUCCUGAAACCGCCUUCUGAUUUACUUCCAGGGCGAGCUAGCACAACAACUGAACCAGAACCUUUUGUGGGCAGGCUUGGCCUAGCUAAAUUGCUCAAACUAGAAGAUUGGUUAAAUGAGUUAUCUGUUGACUCGUCUACAUUAGAAGUGGGAUUAAGCACAUCUGAAAAAUCAUCCAGAAAAACAAACAGGGUGACUGGA